GUAUCUUGGCUUUCUCUCUCCUCUGUUUUCUCUCUUCCAAACGUUUCACACAGAUGGAUGAUUGAGAAAGCCAAGCUAAAUGGUCUCUCUCUUUCUUUUCUCUAUCUUUGAGAGAGAGAGGUUUCGUCAAGCUGCCCGGAGCUUGACUCCCGAUGUUCGGGCUAUGCCUCUGGCAAGCGGUGGCUACCAAAGCACCGUCUUGGCCGGCUUCUGACUCCGGCAAGUGGGUGGUUCUCAUAACACAAUCUUGUCCGGCAACGACUCUGGCAAACGAUGGCUUCAACAGCACCGUUUGGCCGGCGACUUUAGUGAAUCAUCGUCAUCUCCGGUGAUUUCUCUAGUAUAGCUCGGGAUAUGUCCGAAUUAGUUUUUAGUUUUUAGUUCUUUCCUUUCGUUGAUCAUCGUUUUCCUUACUUUUCCAUGGAGUUUUGUUUGUAUUGAGUUUUUAAUGUUGGAUAGCUUCAUCCUCAUCCCCAUUUUAAUGGGUCGAUUCAUCUUCAUGCUUACACCUAUCUUCAAAGUUGGAUUUUGCUGAUUUGUUUGGAUCUGAGCUAUCUCUGUGUUUUUUCCCUUCGUGAUGCAAUUGAAACUCAUUCUCUUUAAAGCGAUGAUUGGUACUGGCUCAACCGUAUCUGGGUUUGUGGCCUUCGAAGCUUUCGUUUAUGGUUGUUUCCGUUAUCAAAGCUUCCGUGUCCGGCGACGAAAUCUUGAUCGGUAAUCCCACCCUUGCCUCGUGUCCCUUCACGCACCAGCGUCUUCACACGUGGCAUAGAGCUGUCGAACUUUUGGCGUUUCCCCGUUUGGGCCUCGUCUUGUCUGGGCUAUGUGUACCCCUUUGUAAAGGCCUACGUUUGAGGCUUUCAUUGUAAAUGUGUUUGUGCUCUCUUAGAGCUUUUCAUAAUAAUAAAGAGAUGA
rnacentral:lncRNA from 1 species